CUUUACUGUAGCCUGGAAUUGUGUCCGGGCUUCGCUUGCGCAGGAUAGGUGGGAAGCGAUGAAGUAUUCCUUGUGGGGAAUAUGGAGCUAACGGUGAGAUACCACUCUGGCGAAGCUAGGAUUCUAACUUAUUUCCGUUAUCCGGAAAAAGGACAGUUUCAGGUGGGCAGUUUGACUGGGGCGGUCGCCUCCUAAAAGGUAACGGAGGCGCGCAAAGGUUCCCCCGGUCCCGUUGGAAAUGGGACGAUAGAGUGCAAAAGCAGAAGGGAGCUUGACUGUGAGACCCACAAGUCGAACAGGGACGAAAGUCGGCUUUAGUGAUCCGACGGCACCGCGUGGAAGGGCCGUCGCUCAACGGAUAAAAGUUA
rnacentral:rRNA from 1 species